rnacentral:tRNA from 1 species
CUAAGGAUGGUUCUUCAGAAGCUUGCUUCUAUCGAACCGUUUUAGAAACAUCAGUGGCCAACGGUCGUCAGGAUCGUUGAGCUGCAUUGGCGGGAUUUCGCCGUCUUCGUUUCUCUUUCUUCGCGGACGAACACGCGCUGGGGCUGCAACCUUGCAGAAUCCCUGGUCCUUGACUGGAUAUGCGUUAGGGGCUUGUAGCUCAGUUGGUUAGAGCGCGCGCUUGAUAAGCGUGAGGUCGGAAGUUCAAGUCUUCCCAGGCCCACCACACUCAUCGAGUGAGCAUUCGUCUUCUGGUUACGGGGCCAUAGCUCAGCUGGGAGAGCGCGUGCUUUGCAAGCAUGAGGUCGUCGGUUCGAUCCCGUCUGGCUCCACCAGAUGGUUUGAUCACCGACUGCUCAUACCGUCGUCCGCGAAACAUCACUUCGCACUUACUAGUCCGGAUGGACAGUAAGCUGCGUGAUUUCUGACAUCGUAAAGAGGAGAUCGAUCCGAGUUGGAUCGGGCAACAAGUAAUUGUUGCGCGAUACUCCAUUAUCUCCGGAUCAUUUCGGCGCUCGUGCGUCUUUUAGCGUAGCUCACAAGGCUGCAUUGAAAGACAAGCGAGUUGUAAAUGAUCCUUUUAGCGAAGCUUGACCGCCUCGCUAUCGGAACGAUCUUACGAAGCAAGCUGGUCUUUCUAAUCAUUGUCCGGCUGCAGAUAGCGUUCAUCGAGGGCGCGUGCCGCAAGGCAGUUCUGCAGACAACAUUCUGCCGAGUGUGUGGACAUUGAUAAUGAGAGC